rnacentral:ncRNA from 1 species
GUAGUUUAUAUAAUUUUAUUUUAAAUUUAUUUUACAUAUAAAUUUUUGUAUUAAUUUUAAAUUAUUUUAAUAAUAAAUUAUUUUAAGUAGUAAUUAAUAUUGAAUAUUUAAGAAAUUAAGAUUUAGUAAUAUUAAAAUUAUUAACUAAUUUUGUGCCAGCAGUUGCGGUUAUACAAAAAAUAAAAUGAAAUUUUUUAAUAUAUUAAUAAUAAAUUGAUAAUUUUUUUUAAAAAAAAAAUUUAAUUAAAAAUUUAAUUUAUUAAGUGAAAUUUUAAUUUAAAAAAAAAAUUAAAUUUAGUUAUGAUUUAAAUAAAAUUUGUUAUUAAACUAGGAUUAGAUACCCUAUUAUUCAAAAAUUAAUUUUUUUAUAUUAAAAUAGUAAUUAAUAAUUUAAUGAAACUUAAAAAAUUUGGCGGUAUUUUAGUUUAUUUAGAGGAAUCUGUUUAUUAAUUGAUAAUCCACGAUUAAAUUUACUUAAUUUAAUAAUUUGUAUAUCGUUGUUAAAAAAAUAUUUUUAAAAAAUUUUAAAUAUUUAAAAAUUAUAAAUUAAAUUAAAUCAGAUCAAGAUGCAGUUUAUAAUUAAGGUAAAAAUGGAUUACAAUAAAUUUAUAUAUAUAUUUAAAUGAAUAUUAAAUUGAAAAAUUUAAUUGAAAGUGGAUUUAAAUGUAAUUUUAUUUAUAUUAUUAAAAUGAUUAAUAAUUAAAAUAUGUACAUAUUGCCCGUCACUUUCAUUUAUAAAUUGAAAUAAGUCGUAACAAAGUAGAGAUAUUGGAAAAUGUUUCUAGAAAGAA